rnacentral:lncRNA from 1 species
ACAUCUGAACUGGAAAAACAAAAAUAAGAACAGGAAAUGAAAAAGAAACUGAAAGAGCCACUAAUACUGUGUAUGUCAACAGAGGGAAAAUCGAUCUGCAGCAUAAUUCACCAAAUGAGCAAAGCCAGGACCUAGAAAAGCUAAAAUGGAACAACGAAUCUAUCCCUUCUCAUUUUGGGGAAGAUUCUCCUGCAGCUAUGUUCUGAAUUCUUUUACUGCCAAAACUCAUGUCCUCUGGUUGUCUGGCUGGGAGACUCCUCCUUCCAUCUGAACUAUGGAAGACCUUUGGUGGUUCUUAUAACCACUGUAGGAACCAUCCUUUAGUACAGGAUUUUAAAUCUCAAGAGCUGUAAGGGACCUACAAGAUCACCUAGAACUCAUAUUUGACCAGGACAGUAUUGUUAACAAGAGGCCACCUAACAAGCAAACUCUUAUUGAGAAAGGACCAUUACAGAAUUAUGACCUUUUGGGGCAUUGAAGUGGACCAGUUACCUACAGAACUUGAGUGUAUGGUAGAGCUAGAAGUGAGAGAAGUAUUGGUAGUGUCACGGUAAUCAUAAAGGGGCCACAUUUGAUGGAGAGAACAGAGAAGAAUGCCGACUGCUGGAAACAGCUUCCAAGACAAGGCCGAUUGCUUUUCUUCCAUAAUCUAGGAAGCUGAGAAAGCUAGAGAAGUGAAAUUUCCUGAGUGGAAAAGCUCCUGGAGAAAGAGAAUCUUCA